rnacentral:rRNA from 1 species
AUGUCAUUUCCUACCAGGUCGUCCCACUCCCUCUCAUCCGUCGCCCUGAGUGCAGUGCAAUGCCGGGCACGUGGUCCAUUUCAGACAAUAGACCCAGGGAGGCAUUUCUACAGUUGUGAUAGCCAUGGUAUAGGAGGAUGCAGGUUCUGGAAGCAAAAGAACAAGUAUAUACAGUACCUGGGCGUCAGUUGGAGCCACAAUCGCCAUGCCUCACUUCUCGGAGAGAAUCAAGCCUGGCUAGAGAACAUGUUAAUCUUGUGCAUUGCCAAUCUUGUCGCCGUUGUCGUGCUCUUCAUCAGCUAG